rnacentral:rRNA from 1 species
UACCGAGGUCUCAACCGUUGUUCGGAUUCAUUGGGCGUAAAGGGUGCGUAGGCGGUCGCGCAAGUCGGAUGUGAAAUCUCAGGGCUCAACCCUGAAACUGCAUUCGAUACUGCGUGGCUAGAGUGCUGGAGAGGAGACUGGAAUUUACGGUGUAGCAGUGAAAUGCGUAGAUAUCGUAAGGAAGACCAGUGGCGAAGGCGAGUCUCUGGACAGCAACUGACGCUGAGGCACGAAGGCCAGGGGAGCAAACGGG